AAGGUGGUUGCAAAUGGCUGACUCAGAGGAUGAUGAUCAGCACGACAGUGCCUUCUGCUUCUGCUAGUACUCCGUGUUUAUAGGAGAGAUGUUAUAAGGUGACUGUCGCCAGUUCAGCUCCACCCCUUGAUCUGUUCACCAGGCAUUAUGGAGACUGGAAAGAGCAAGAGAGCAAAUGGAAGAAGGAGCAUAUUAAUUGGGACUUUGUGAAAAUGUGAUGAUGUGUUCAAKCUCCAGCUUCAGAAUUUGCCACCAACAUCUCCACUGCUCAAAGCCACUGAAUUUUGCAACUCAAGAGCUCUUCUGGACAGAAAGGAAGCUGUGGUGCAGGUGGAACAUCCCAUUACAACAGCACAGUAAGAAACUAGAAAARGAAGUUUUAAAUGGGAGCAACUCUGCAUUUUAAGUUACAAGGAAAGAUUCCUGAGAAAAACCAGCUUUUUACUGAGAGCUGCAGCUGGGGCAGCUGCAGGGAAGGACCAGUUGGAAGAUCUGCAUGGCUUAAGGAAUGACAGAAGUCCAACCUGCUGGGAGAAAAGGACAGUGCACACUAGAAACACKGACCAUACUGCAGUCUGGUCACUCUGUAUCCUUCCUGAUGCCUGUAGGGACAAAAUGUAAAAGUCAGCAGCUAAAUUAAUAAUUAAUAUUCCCCAAGCUUCUUGGAUGUGGUUUUGUUUUUUAGCUCCAGAUAUAUAAAACCGGGCAACCUCUGCUCUCACAAAUCUGGCCCUAUGGCCCAUGAUUCCCUGAAAUCCUAAUAGAACUGAUAAAAACUCUGAGGCUUCAGAGCACAAGCCAAUCAUGGGCAACUCAGUUUUGGAAAGAAACUCUAUUAAAAAACAGUUUGUGCCCAGACUGGGAGSUCUCCUUAAAGCACUAGAUACCAAGAUAACUGAGUGGGGUGGAUGAG